GACGAACGCUGGCGGCGUGCUUAACACAUGCAAGUCGAACGGAAAGGCCCCUUUGGGGGUACUCGAGUGGCGAACGGGUGAGUAACACGUGAGUAACCUGCCCUUGACUUCGGGAUAACUUCAGGAAACUGGGGCUAAUACCGGAUAGGAAUCCUUGCUGCAUGGUGGGGGUUGGAAAGCUUCGGCGGUUUUGGAUGGACUCGCGGCUUAUCAGCUUGUUGGUGGGGUAGUGGCUUACCAAGGCUUUGACGGGUAGCCGGCCUGAGAGGGCGACCGGCCGCAUUGGGACUGAGAUACGGCCCAGACUCCUACGGGAGGCAGCAGUGGGGAAUAUUGCACAAUGGGCGGAAGCCUGAUGCAGCAACGCCGCGUGCGGGAUGACGGCCUUCGGGUUGUAAACCGCUUUCAGCAGGGGCGAAGCUUGUGGUGACGGUACCUGCAGAAGAAGCACCGGCUAACUACGUG
rnacentral:rRNA from 1 species